AGUGAACGCUGGCGGUAGGCCUAACACAUGCCAGUCGAACGGCAGCACAGUAAGAGCUUGCUCUUACGGGUGGCGAGUGGCGGACGGGUGAGGAAUACAUCGGAAUCUACUUUUUCGUGGGGGAUAACGUAGGGAAACUUACGCUAAUACCGCAUACGACCUACGGGUGAAAGCAGGGGAUCUUCGGACCUUGCGCGAUUGAAUGAGCCGAUGUCGGAUUAGCUAGUUGGCGGGGUAAAGGCCCACCAAGGCGACGAUCCGUAGCUGGUCUGAGAGGAUGAUCAGCAACACUGGAACUGAGACACGGUCCAGACUCCUACGGGAGGCAGCAGUGGGGAAUAUUGGACAAUGGGCGCAAGCCUGAUCCAGCCAUACCGCGUGGGUGAAGAAGGCCUUCGGGUUGUAAAGCCCUUUUGUUGGGAAAGAAAAGCAGCAGGUUAAUACCCCGCUGUUCUGACGGUACCCAAAGAAUAAGCACCGGCUAACUUCGU
rnacentral:rRNA from 1 species